CGCUGGCGGCACGCCUAACACAUGCAAGUCGAACGAAGUAGCAAUACUUAGUGGCAGACGGGUGAGUAACAUGUAGGUAUCUACCCUUUGGCCUGGAAUAACACGAGGAAACUUGUGCUAAUACCGGAUAAGUCUUUACGGAGAAAGCUUUAUGCACCAUUGGAUGAGCCUGCACUUGAUUAGUUUGUUGGUGGGGUAAUGGCCUACCAAGACUGUGAUCAAUAGCUGAUUUGAGAGGAUGAUCAGCCACAUUGGGACUGAGACACGGCCCAAACUCCUACGGGAGGCAGCAGUGGGGAAUCUUGCACAAUGGAGGAAACUCUGAUGCAGCGAUGCCGCGUGAGUGAAGAAGGCCCUUGGGUUGUAAAGCUCUUUCGUCGGGGAAGAAAAUGACUGUACCCGAAUAAGAAGGUCCGGCUAACUUCGUGCCAGCAGCCGCGGUAAUACGAAGGGACCUAGCGUAGUUCGGAAUUACUGGGCUUAAAGAGUUCGUAGGUGGUUGAAAAAGUUGGUGGUGAAAUCCCAGAGCUUAACUCUGGAACUGCCAUCAAAACUUUUCAGCUAGAGUUUGAUAGAGGAAAGCAGAAUUUCUAGUGUAGAGGUGAAAUUCGUAGAUAUUAGAAAGAAUACCAAUUGCGAAGGCAGCUUUCUGGAUCAUUACUGACACUGAGGAACGAAAGCAUGGGUAGCGAAGAGGAUUAGAUACCCUCGUAGUCCAUGCCGUAAACGAUGUGUGUUAGACGUUGGAAAUUUAUUUUCAGUGUCGCAGCGAAAGCGAUAAACACACCGCC
rnacentral:rRNA from 1 species